AACGACUUUCAACCCGAAAAAAGAAACUAGGACUUCAAAAUAAUGAAAGGAAAAUAUCUUCAAACCGAAAUCGAAAAAUAACAUCAAUGAACAUAGAAAAUCAACAUUCAACAAAGAGUUCAAGCAAACACAUCAAGUUCAAUUCAUUGAACACAAGAGGAUGAUGGUUUACCACUUCAGUAGUCAUCGAAAGGAAGAAUCCAACGCAGUAGUGGUGUUAUUUAUAUGAGCCAGAAUAGGAGGUGAAUUUGAGAAUGGUAGAUGUGUGAAGAAUUUUCUCUAAAGAAUUCUCACAGGGCACUCUGAAGUUUUGCUGGUUUAUAGUGAAUGGACACAUGAAGCGGUUAGAGAGAACCUUUGAGUUUUUUUGAAGCCUGUAUUUCCAUGUUUAGAAGAUAACUUAGAAAAUUCUAAUAUGGUCUAGAUGCUACAAGAGUUUAUUGUUGUAACCAA